rnacentral:rRNA from 1 species
AGUGAACGCUGGCGGUAGGCCUAACACAUGCAAGUCGAACGGCAGCACAGUAAGAGCUUGCUCUUACGGGUGGCGAGUGGCGGACGGGUGAGGAAUACAUCGGAAUCUACUUUUUCGUGGGGGAUAACGUAGGGAAACUUACGCUAAUACCGCAUACGACCUACGGGUGAAAGCAGGGGAUCUUCGGACCUUGCGCGAUUGAAUGAGCCGAUGUCGGAUUAGCUAGUUGGCGGGGUAAAGGCCCACCAAGGCGACGAUCCGCAGCUGGUCUGAGAGGAUGAUCAGCCACACUGGAACUGAGACACGGUCCAGACUCCUAAGGGAGGCAGCAGUGGGGAAUAUUGGACAAUGGGCGCAAGCCUGAUCCAGCCAUACCGCGUGGGUGAAGAAGGCCUUCGGGUUGUAAAGCCCUUUUGUUGGGAAAGAAAAGCAGCAGGUUAAUACCCCGCUGUUCUGACGGUACCCAAAGAAUAAGCACCGGCUAACUUCGUG